UACAGAGGGUGCAAGCGUUGUUCGGAAUUAUUGGGCGUAAAGGGAGUGUAGGCGGUUUGGAAAGUCUUCUGUGAAAUCUACGGGCUUAGCCUGUAACGUGCAGAGGAUACUACCAGGCUUGAGUGUCGGAGAGGAUAGGGGAAUACCCAGUGUAGAGGUGAAAUUCGUAGAGAUUGGGUGGAACACCAGUGGCGAAGGCGCCUAUCUGGCUGACAACUGACGCUGAGACUCGAAAGCAUGGGGAGCAAACAGG
rnacentral:rRNA from 1 species